GUUGUAGCUCAGUGGUAGAGUGCUUGCCUAGCAUGUGUGAGGCACUGGGUUUGAUCCUCAGCACCACA
rnacentral:tRNA from 1 species